rnacentral:rRNA from 1 species
GACGAACCGUGCGAACGUUGUUCGGAAUCACUGGGCUUAAAGGGUGCGUAGGCGGGUUGUCCAGUCUGGGGUGAAAUCCCACGGCUCAACCGUGGAAUUGCCUCAGAUACUGACGACCUCGAGGGAGGUAGGGGCGAGCGGAACUGUGGGUGGAGCGGUGAAAUGCGUUGAGAUCCACAGGAACUCCGGUGGCGAAGGCGGCUCGCUGGACCUCUUCUGACGAUGAGGCACGAAAGAUAGGGGAGCAAACGGG